UACGUAGGGGGCAAGCGUUAUCCGGAUUUACUGGGUGUAAAGGGGGCGCAGACGGCGAUGCAAGCCAGGAGUGAAAGCCCGGGGCCCAACCCCGGGACUGCUCUUGGAACUGCGUGGCUGGAGUGCAGGAGGGGCAGGCGGAAUUCCUGGAGUAGCGGUGAAAUGCGUAGAUAUCAGGAGGAACACCGGUGGCGAAGGCGGCCUGCUGGACUGCAACUGACGUUGAGGCCCGAAAGCGUGGGGAGCAAACAGG
rnacentral:rRNA from 1 species